AGGCAAUGCCUAAGCAAGCACCUGGGACAAAGCAAGAGUCAUUCAAGUGAGCACCUCUCGAAUGUUCAGCACUAUUUUUCCUAUCCCUUUUCUGGUUGGUUUUUUCAGAGGUUUGCAGGCUCUAUUUUGAGGGUUAUUUGGUCCAUGAAGCCCUCAUAGACAAAGGGCUACUCUAGGACGUUGAAAGAUCUACUUUCUGUGUUGUAUUUUUCAGAAACAUCAAAUAUGUUUUGCUUAGCAUUAUUUUGCUCUCAUGUUGGAACUUUGAAGCUAAUUCAAAUUGUCCGAUGCUUUUUUCUUGACUUUUGUCUGAAACAUGACACAGAAUGUUGUCUUCAUUUGAUGUUUUGGAAGAUGCAGAACAUUAUAUCUAAUGUUAAAGAUAAUUAUGAUUGAGGAAUUUGAAACUUGAAUAAUUAAUCAUAAGAUGUUUGAAUUAUUUUGGAUACAAAUAGUAUUUACUUCUAACAUCAUAAAUUAGUGCCUUGCUUUUCUUUAGGCAAUAACCCUUUUGGUGUCUACCACCUCUGCGAUAUAGGGAGGGAUCUUGUCACCUUAAGGGCACCCUUUUCUUUUGAUAACCUUGCAAAAGGAUGAUGAUUUUAUAAUAUAUUAGGCAUCGCAUUUCAGCUGUUAUUUGAGAAUCAAUUUCUCUGUUUAUGCAGUAAUGAAUUUGAUCAAAAAUUCAGGUCCUGUAUUGAACUGAUAUCAGAUCUGACUUGAACGCUCCUUUAAGUAUAAACUCUAAA
rnacentral:lncRNA from 1 species